rnacentral:lncRNA from 1 species
AUGAGGAUGAUGAGGAUGACGAGGAAGAACAUCCCGGAGCCAUCGAUUCCCUGGGAUCCUUCCCUUCCUGGAAUUCCCUUUUCCCACCCCAAAGGGCCCUCCCUGGCCCCCCCAGUGCUCCUAAAAAGAUCCGGGAAAAGCCGGGAAUGCUCCAGGAAAAUCCGGGAAUGCUCCGGGAAAAGCUGGGAAUGCUGCGGGAAAAGCUGGGAAUGCUCUGGGAAAAGCCGGGAAUGCUGCGGGAAAAGCUGGGAAUGCUGCAGGAAAAGUUGGGAAUGCUUCAGGAAAAGUUGGGAAAGCUUCAGGAAAAGUUGGGAAUGCUGCAGGAAAAGCCGGGAAUGCUUCAGGAAAAGUUGGGAAAAGCCAGGAAUGCUGCAGGAAAAGCCGGGAAUGCUGCAGGAAAAGUUGGGAAUGCUGCAGGAAAAGCCGGGAAUGCUUCAGGAAAACUGCAGGAAAAGCCGGGAAUGCUGCAGGAAAAGCCGGGAAUGCUGCAGGAAAAGUUGGGAAAAGCCGGGAAUGCUCCAGGAAAAGCCGGGAAUGCUGCAGGAAAAGCCAGGAAUGCUCCAAGAAAAGCCGGGAAUGCUCCAGAAGCGCCGUUCCCUUUGCGCUGGGAGAUUGAAAUCCCUGGGAACGGGGGCGAUUCCAGCCCCAAAAUUCCCCUCACGGAAUUCUUUGGGAAUUCUGCUCCCCCUUCCCUGCAGGGAGAAACAGGAAAAGGAGGAAAAGCAGCGGGAAAAGUCAGGAAUGCUGCAGGAAAAGCUGGGAAUGCUCCAGGAAAAGCCAGGAAUGCUCUGGGAAGAGCUGGGAAAAGCCGGGAAUGCUGCAGGAAAAGGAGGAAAAGCCGGGAAUGCUCUGGGAAAAGCCGGGAAUGCUCCGCGAAAAGGAGGAAAAGCGGCAGGAACGAGCUCAUUGCUGGGAAUUUCCAUCCCUAAAAAAUCCCUAAAAAAUCCCGGGAAGGGUCAGGAUUGAGGAAAAGCAGGAAAAAAUGGAUUUAUUUUUUUCCCUGGAUCCGAGUGGGAGGAGCUCCAGGAGGACUCCGAGCCCCGGGAAUCUCCUGAAUCAGCGGAUUCGAUUCCCAGCGAGGAAAAUUUCAGGAAUUUUUCCCUUUUUCCAGGAAAUCCCGUUCCUUUUCCAUCAUUUUCUGUGAUUUAGGGCUUUGGAUUGGGAGGAAUUUGGGAAUUACAGGAAAAUUUUUCCUUUUUUUUCCCAGCACUUUGACCUUGGGCACUUCCCGGUUUUCCAUUUUCCACCUGUUUGUGAAAAUUCCCGAAAAAUUCGGGAUCUUUUUGCCUUUUCCGCCCAUUUCCCUCUCUCAAAGCGGAAAUUCCCUUUUUUUUCCCGCCCGAUUUUGGGGAUUUUUACCUCGUUGUGAAUUUUUUCAGCCCCUCCGGCUUCAGGACCUCGAUUUUUUUUAACUUUUCCCAUCGUUUUUCCAUAAAAAUCCCUCAUUUCCCGCCCAUUCCCAGCAUUUCGGGCUCUGCCACAAGGAAAUUUGGGGUUUUUUGGGGUGGAUUUUCAGGAAUUUCGGUGUUGUCCGAGCAGCUUUUCCCCUCCACCCCCGGGGAAUUUUCCAUCCGCGUUUUCCCAAAAAAAAGAUGGAAAAGCCUCAUUUGAGAAGAGAGAGAGGAAGAGGAGCCCCUUGGGAUGAAGAUUUGGGGGAUUUUGGGGGAUUUUGGGAGCCGUCCGAGGGAUCCGAGCCCGUUCUGGGCUGGGAAAAGCUGGAAUGGGUUAAAAGAAAUAAAUAAUAAUAAUAAAAAAAAGAAUUCCA